rnacentral:rRNA from 1 species
CAGUAGCCACGGUAAUACGAAGGGUGCAAGCGUUAAUCGGAAUUACUGGGCGUAAAGCGUGCGUAGGCGGUUUGUUAAGUCUGUUGUGAAAUCCCCGGGCUCAACCUGGGAAUGGCAAUGGAUACUGGCAAGCUAGAGUGUGUCAGAGGAUGGUGGAAUUCCCGGUGUAGCGGUGAAAUGCGUAGAGAUCGGGAGGAACAUCAGUGGCGAAGGCGGCCAUCUGGGACAACACUGACACUGAGGCACGAAAGCGUGGGGAGCAAACAGGAUUAGAUACCCCGGUAGUCCCUGUCUCUUAUAC